rnacentral:lncRNA from 1 species
GUGGGUUUUGAAACUUGGAAAUGACAUUAUUUGCCAAAAAUACAUCUUCACUAGCAAACUCUUUUUUUUGGUGCUGUUGUUGUAAUAAUUGGGGGAUGAUUGAAGAUGAAAAGUGUUGUGAUUACACUAUAGAACUAAAUUGGGUGGUAUUGCUUUUAUGGACCAUUCUUCAUGCAAACAAGGCAUAUUGAGAUGUAAAAUCUACAUGACUACAUUAUUGAUUGUAUACAAUUUGAUUGUCUAAAUAUACAAAAUAAAUAAAUUGAAUUCAAAUUUAUAUAAUACAAUUUUGUAUUGAAUAUAAAUUUGUAUUCAAGUGUAUUUCUAAUCAUAAUAAUAAUUUGUACAUGAACAGAAUAAAAUAAAAUAACAAACUUAUACGUAAGAAUGUACCUUUUACAAUUAAAGUUGAUAAUGAAAAAUUCAAUAAAAUAAAUGUGACUUUCUCUUUGUAGAUAGUUAAAUUUUGUCAUUAACGUGUUAAUGAAUCAUGACUCAAGCUUAAAUUCUUUAAGUUUGAUAACAUUUGACAAUCAUUUUCAGAAAUGUCUAUAAUGUCAGCAAAAAUUAUCUUCAUGGUCGCUUUCUUGGUAAACGCUGAAAGGUUAUUUGAAAAAACAGUAUUUACUUAAUAAAAAAGCAGCAAUAUCCAUUUUUAGGUAUGAAGUACGCGAUAUAAUUAACGGAUACUUACGCACAUGCCAAGGUGGAAUCAAGAAACAAUCCAUGAUCUUGAUGAGCGAUCCAAAUACGUUUAGCUGCCAUACGAUCAUUUUCAUUGACCACAAUUACUCUUGAGUUGUCAAUCUUCCUACUUGUGUUAUUGACGACAACCUGACGCAAUGUAAAGGUUACAAGAUAUGUACUUUACCAAGUGGCUCAUUGAUUGAAAUUGAGUGAGCUCAUCAGUAGUCGAGAAAUGAUGAAUUUGUCUACAGAGAAGUUUUUUACUCGAUUAUGGGAACAUAGGCUUUCGAUACUGAUGCCGUGCUAUUUAAAUUAUUGUCAUAUCACGCAGUUUCGAAGAAAAUAAAUUUCAUGAGUCGCGAAGAUUCCAGUCACAAAUCGCGUACUUUUCUUAUCUUUGAACGAAGAAAAGUACUAAUAUGUGCGGACCCAGAAUUGUUUAUUCAUCUCGUAUCCACUCCAGAGAAUAUUCAAGCACCUAAGUGGUUUUUAAUCCCCACUCAACCAACAAGCAUGAGGGGUGAAUUCUGCUAAAACGAGGGCACGGAACUCCUUGAGGCAUAUUUUAGUAUGAAAAAUAUGAGAGAAGAGUAAGGGGGGGGGGAUCAAACAGAG